UUAGUGGCGGACGGGUGAGUAACGCGUGGGUAACCUGUCUUACACAGGGGGAUAACACUUAGAAAUAGGUGCUAAAACCGCAUAAGCGCACAGCUUCGCAUGAAGCGGUGUGAAAAACUCCGGUGGUGUAAGAUGGACCCGCGUCUGAUUAGCUUGUUGGCGGGGUAACGGCCCACCAAGGCGACGAUCAGUAGCCGGCCUGAGAGGGCGGACGGCCACAUUGGGACUGAGACACGGCCCAGACUCCUACGGGAGGCAGCAG
rnacentral:rRNA from 1 species